AGUGAACGCUGGCGGUAGGCCUAACACAUGCAAGUCGAACGGCAGCACAGUAAGAGCUUGCUCUUAUGGGUGGCGAGUGGCGGACGGGUGAGGAAUACAUCGGAAUCUACUUUUUCGUGGGGGAUAACGUAGGGAAACUUACGCUAAUACCGCAUACGACCUACGGGUGAAAGCAGGGGAUCUUCGGACCUUGCGCGAUUGAAUGAGCCGAUGUCGGAUUAGCUAGUUGGCGGGGUAAAGGCCCACCAAGGCGACGAUCCGUAGCUGGUCUGAGAGGAUGAUCAGCCACACUGGAACUGAGACACGGUCCAGACUCCUACGGGAGGCAGCAGUGGGGAAUAUUGGACAAUGGGCGCAAGCCUGAUCCAGCCAUACGGCGUGGGUGAAGAAGGCCUUCGGGUGGUAAAGCCCUUUUGUUGGGAAAGAAAAGCAGCAGGUUAAUACCCCGCUGUUCUGACGGUACCCAAAGAAUAAGCACCGGCUAACUUCGU
rnacentral:rRNA from 1 species